rnacentral:rRNA from 1 species
AGUGAACGCUGGCGGUAGGCCUAACACAUGCAAGUCGAACGGCAGCACAGUAAGAGCUUGCUAUUACGGGUGGCGAGUGGCGGACGGGUGAGGAAUACAUCGGACUCUACUUUUUCGUGGGUUAUAACGUAGGGAAACUUACGCUAAUACCGCAUACGACCUACUGGUGAAAGCAGGGGAUCUUCGGACCUUGCGCGAUUGAAUGAGCCGAUGUCGGAUUAGCUAGUUGGCGGGGUAAAGGCCCACCAAGGCGACGAUCCGUAGCUGGUCUGAGAGGAUGAUCAGCGACACUGGAACUGAGACACGGUCCAGACUCCUACGGGAGGCAGAAGUGGGGAAGAUUGGAAAAUGGGCGGAAGCCUGAACCAGCCAUACAGCGUGGGUGAAGAAGGGCUUCGGGUUGUAAAGCCCUUUUGUGGGGAAAGAAAAGCAGCAGGUUAAUACCCCGCUGUUCUGACGGUACCCAAAGAAUAAGCACCGGCUAACUUCGUG